rnacentral:rRNA from 1 species
AUUGAACGCUGGCGGCAGGCCUAACACAUGCAAGUCGAACGAGUGGCGGACGGGUGAGUAAUGUCUGGGCAACUGCCUGAUGUAGGGGGAUAACUACUGGAAACGGUAGCUACUACCGCAUACCAUCGGAUGUGCCCAGGUGGGAUUAGCUAGUAGGUGGGGUAUAGGCUCACCUAGGCGACGAUCCCUAGCUGGUCUGAGAGGAUGACCAGCCACACUGGAACUGAGACACGGGCCAGACUCCUACGGGAGGCAGCAGUGGGGAAUAUUGGACAAUGGGCGAAAGUCUGAUCCAGCCAUGCCGCGUGUGUGAAGAAGGUCUUCGGGUUGUAAAGCACUUUCAGCGGGGAGGCGUUACCUGCAGAAGAAGCACCGGCUAACUACGUGCCAGCAGCCGCGGUAAUAC